UCUGACGGACUCUGCUCAAUGUGCUCAAGCGGAUCUUUUGGCUUUCUGGAACAAUUUGAGAGAUUGGUGCUUAGAAACUUUAUGCAUAUGGCUGGUUAGAGCUACCUAUGCAAAGGGUGUAAACACUGUACUUACACAGUUUUAGGAACAUCCUCUUCCCUCAUUCUAAUCUGGUGGUAACCAGAUCUUAAGUCCAGUUUUUAGAAAACGCUAGCCAGCAAGUUCAUCCAACAAUUCAUCCACCACAGGUUUUUGGAAACGGGUACCUUUAAGGUUGUUUACACACUGGUGGAGAGCUCUCUUUGAGAAUAAUCUUGUGUUCAUGGCCUCUUAAUGGUGGAAGACCUGUGGGAGUCUCAAGGACCUGAGAAUACUCCUCCAAGAGCUGCUGCAAAGGUUCUGGUAGCUGAGUCAGUGGCAUAGAGGAGAGAACUGGUGUUGAAAUGUGUAAGAUUAAGCCCUUUGUUGCACCGUUGGUGAAGAACUUGACACCCUCUUGAAAAGUUGAUUUUUCAGGUUGGACACCCCUUAACAUCACCUGCUUGCCUGAGUAAGUGAAUUGCAUAGUCAGCAACUUAAAAUCCCACUUGAUAACAUCCAAAGUACUCGGCCAUUAAGUUCCCAAAACCACUUCACAACCCCCAAAAGGAAUGGCAUUAAGCUCCACCAUAAAUUUUUAUACCCUGCAUCAGGAGUUGGACUCCAUGACCGACACCUUUAGUCUUAAUUUUAGUCUUAACAAUUAGCCACUUUCACCUCCAAAAUCUUAGAAGUAUCAAUUUGUAACUUCCAACUUCAUUGCCAUAGCAGCGUCCAAGAAAUUGUGAGUAUUCCCUGAAUCUAACAGAGACAUUACCUCUUGAUCUUUAAUUUUGCUCAACUCUCAUAGUGUUUGGAGAUGGAUUUCCCACCAAGGCAUAGAGUGUAAUCUCAGCCUUGUCAUCUUGUUCUUCUAGCUCUAUCACCACAUCACCAUUGUCAUCUAAUUCCAUCAAUAGCAAACCGUGUGCAUGCUCCACUUCAAAUGCAGAGCCCUCCAACAAAAACAAUUUUUCUCCUUUGCAUUUAUGGCCAGUGUGCCAUUUCUCAUCACAAUUGUAACGCAAUCCUUGCUUUCUUCUUUCCUCCAUUUGGGCACUUGUUAACCUUUGAAGAGGCAAUCUUACCUUCUGUUCAGACUUAUUUUCAAUCUUGGGCACCCUAACAAUGAGGGCUUGCUGGGAUCAAAAGAAGUCUUCAAGCUUUUCUUGCAACUGAUCAAAUACUCCUGAAUUUUGGCUAAGCCAAAAGCUUCAUUCAGAGACUUGGGUGCCGACAUCCUCAAAGGAAGAUGUAUCUCAUCCUUUAACCCACUCAAGAAGCAACUGAGUUUAUGGGUUUCUGACAAAGCUGUGAUCCUGUUUGAUAAAGCCUCAAAUUGACUCUUGUAAAUCACUACACUAGAUGAUUGUUUAAGCCUUGUUAUAGCUUCCAUUGCAUCAUCAUAGGCUGUAGAGCCAAAGCGAAUCUGUAGAGCUUUUUUGAAAGCAUCCUAGCUUGUGAAUAUUCCAGCAUUCUCAGAUCUUGAAACCACACCGAUGCUUCCCCAUCCAUAUGAUAAGAAGCCAACAAAAUUCGUAGUUGCACUGGUGUAUUGUAGUAAGAAAAAUGCUGAGGAACUCAGUACCUGACUCGCAGGAUCUUCCCCUUGGAAUCUUGGAAAAUCAAGGUUCAAGGGUUUUCCUGGAUUCAUGAAAAAAGAUUCUGCAGUUGUUGAAUCGUUGGUUGCAUGGUGAUCCCUAGGUACAAAUUGUCUUCGAUCUUCUGCUUCAAUAAUCUUCUGCAUAAACUGGUUGAGGGAUUGCAACUGUUUCUGGAUUUAUUGUAAAAUGAUAUCAUAUUGAUCAGUAACUUUGGCUAAAGCUGUGAUCUUUUCUGAGUUGUGGGAGGCCGGUCGAGCUUCAGCCAUGGUGAUAGGAUGAUUUAGCUCUGAUACCAAACGUUAAGAUCCCAGCUGAUCUCACAAGUCUUAGGGGUUGAAUGGGUGAAUGGAGAAGAUUAAAGGGAAUAUGAGUGGGUUACUUCGAGGGAACCUAGUCCUCCAUGAGAAGAAUAGGGGAUAGAGAUGGAAACUGAGUGUUCAUCUUAUUUCUUGAUUGAUUCCCAUUACAAUGCUACUGUUCUCUAUAAUACAAUUGUCGUAA